GGGUUGUGAGGUUAAGCGACUAAGCGUACACGGUGGAUGCCCUGGCAGUCAGAGGCGAUGAAGGACGUGCUAAUCUGCGAUAAGCGCCGGUAAGGUGAUAUGAACCGUUAUAACCGGCGAUUUCCGAAUGGGGAAACCCAGUGUGAUUCGUCACACUAUCAUUAACUGAAUCCAUAGGUUAAUGAGGCGAACCGGGGGAACUGAAACAUCUAAGUACCCCGAGGAAAAGAAAUCAACCGAGAUUCCCCCAGUAGCGGCGAGCGAACGGGGAGGAGCCCAGAGCCUGAAUCAGCAUGUGUGUUAGUGGAAGCGUCUGGAAAGGCGCGCGAUACAGGGUGACAGCCCCGUACACAAAAGCGCAUGUGCUGUGAGCUCGAUGAGUAGGGCGGGACACGUGGUAUCCUGUCUGAAUAUGGGGGGACCAUCCUCCAAGGCUAAAUACUCCUGACUGACCGAUAGUGAACCAGUACCGUGAGGGAAAGGCGAAAAGAACCCCGGCGAGGGGAGUGAAAAAGAACCUGAAACCGUGUACGUACAAGCAGUGGGAGCCCCACCACCAAAGCAUUCUCUGGUGUUGAAGGCCCUGCAAAGCAGCAUCGCGGUGGCGGAGCGUCGUUUGCGACGCCCAACACACAAAACAAGCGGUGAGUGCUUUGGGGUGGGGUGACUGCGUACCUUUUGUAUAAUGGGUCAGCGACUUAUAUUCUGUAGCAAGGUUAACCGUAUAGGGGAGCCGGAGGGAAACCGAGUCUUAAUUGGGCGUUAAGUUGCAGGGUAUAGACCCGAAACCCGGUGAUCUAGCCAUGGGCAGGUUGAAGGUUGGGUAACACUAACUGGAGGACCGAACCGACUAAUGUUGAAAAAUUAGCGGAUGACCUGUGGCUGGGGGUGAAAGGCCAAUCAAACCGGGAGAUAGCUGGUUCUCCCCGAAAGCUAUUUAGGUAGCGCCUCGUGAAUUCAUCUCCGGGGGUAGAGCACUGUUUCGGCUAGGGGGCCAUCCCGGCUUACCAACCCGAUGCAAACUGCGAAUACCGGAGAAUGUUAUCACGGGAGACACACGGCGGGUGCUAACGUCCGUCGUGAAGAGGGAAACAACCCAGACCGCCAGCUAAGGUCCCAAAGUCAUGGUUAAGUGGGAAACGAUGUGGGAAGGCCCAGACAGCCAGGAUGUUGGCUUAGAAGCAGCCAUCAUUUAAAGAAAGCGUAAUAGCUCACUGGUCGAGUCGGCCUGCGCGGAAGAUGUAACGGGGCUAAACCAUGCACCGAAGCUGCGGCAGCGAACGUAUCACUUAAAGCGAUUCAGCGGGUUACGAUUGACGGAGCGAAGCGACGUCAAAGCGUAUACAAAGUCGAGUCGGUUUAAGGAUACGUUCGUUGGGUAGGGGAGCGUUCUGUAAGCCUGCGAAGGUGGCCUGUGAGGGUUGCUGGAGGUAUCAGAAGUGCGAAUGCUGACAUAAGUAACGAUAAAGCGGGUGAAAAGCCCGCUCGCCGGAAGACCAAGGGUUCCUGUCCAACGUUAAUCGGGGCAGGGUGAGUCGACCCCUAAGGCGAGGCCGAAAGGCGUAGUCGAUGGGAAACGGGUUAAUAUUCCCGUACUUGGUGUUACUGCGAAGGGGGGACGGAGAAGGCUAUGUUGGCCGGGCGACGGUUGUCCCGGUUUAAGCGUGUAGGCUGGUUUUCCAGGCAAAUCCGGAAAAUCAAGGCUGAGGCGUGACGACGAGGCACUACGGUGCUGAAGCAACAAAUGCCCUGCUUCCAGGAAAAGCCUCUAAGCAUCAGGUAACAUCAAAUCGUACCCCAAACCGACACAGGUGGUCAGGUAGAGAAUACCAAGGCGCUUGAGAGAACUCGGGUGAAGGAACUAGGCAAAAUGGUGCCGUAACUUCGGGAGAAGGCACGCUGACAUGUAGGUGAAGUGAUUUACUCAUGGAGCUGAAGUCAGUCGAAGAUACCAGCUGGCUGCAACUGUUUAUUAAAAACACAGCACUGUGCAAACACGAAAGUGGACGUAUACGGUGUGACGCCUGCCCGGUGCCGGAAGGUUAAUUGAUGGGGUCAGCGCAAGCGAAGCUCCUGAUCGAAGCCCCGGUAAACGGCGGCCGUAACUAUAACGGUCCUAAGGUAGCGAAAUUCCUUGUCGGGUAAGUUCCGACCUGCACGAAUGGCGUAAUGAUGGCCAGGCUGUCUCCACCCGAGACUCAGUGAAAUUGAACUCGCUGUGAAGAUGCAGUGUACCCGCGGCAAGACGGAAAGACCCCGUGAACCUUUACUAUAGCUUGACACUGAACAUUGAGCCUUGAUGUGUAGGAUAGGUGGGAGGCUUUGAAGUGUGGACGCCAGUCUGCAUGGAGCCGACCUUGAAAUACCACCCUUUAAUGUUUGAUGUUCUAACGUGGACCCGUUACCCGGGUUGCGGACAGUGUCUGGUGGGUAGUUUGACUGGGGCGGUCUCCUCCUAAAGAGUAACGGAGGAGCACGAAGGUUGGCUAAUCCUGGUCGGACAUCAGGAGGUUAGUGCAAUGGCAUAAGCCAGCUUGACUGCGAGCGUGACGGCGCGAGCAGGUGCGAAAGCAGGUCAUAGUGAUCCGGUGGUUCUGAAUGGAAGGGCCAUCGCUCAACGGAUAAAAGGUACUCCGGGGAUAACAGGCUGAUACCGCCCAAGAGUUCAUAUCGACGGCGGUGUUUGGCACCUCGAUGUCGGCUCAUCACAUCCUGGGGCUGAAGUAGGUCCCAAGGGUAUGGCUGUUCGCCAUUUAAAGUGGUACGCGAGCUGGGUUUAGAACGUCGUGAGACAGUUCGGUCCCUAUCUGCCGUGGGCGCUGGAGAACUGAGGGGGGCUGCUCCUAGUACGAGAGGACCGGAGUGGACGCAUCACUGGUGUUCGGGUUGUCAUGCCAAUGGCACUGCCCGGUAGCUAAAUGCGGAAGAGAUAAGUGCUGAAAGCAUCUAAGCACGAAACUUGCCCCGAGAUGAGUUCUCCCUGAGACUUUAGGUCUCCUGAAGGAACGUUGAAGACGACGACGUUGAUAGGCCGGGUGUGUAAGCGCAGCGAUGCGUUGAGCUAACCGGUACUAAUGAACCGUGAGGCUUAACCUUACAACGCCGAAG
rnacentral:rRNA from 1 species